rnacentral:tRNA from 1 species
UCCCGGCUAGCUCAGUCGGUAGAGCGUCAGACUCUUACAUUAUACAAGGGUUUCCGAGCAUGUUCUCGGAGUUUAUCUGAAUGUCGUGGGUUCGAGCCCCACGUUGGGAG